CCUACGGGGGGCAGCAGUGAGGAAUAUUGGUCAAUGGCCGGAAGGCUGAACCAGCCAUGCCGCGUGAAGGUCAGUGCCCUAUGGGCGUUAAACUUCUUUUGUGCGGGAGCAAUAAUGGUCACGUGUGGCCAGACGAGAGUACCGUACGAAUAAGCAUCGGCUAACUCCGUGCCAGCAGCCGCGGUAAUACGGGGGAUGCAAGCGUUAUCCGGAUUUAUUGGGUUUAAAGGGUGCGUAGGCUGUGAGGUAAGUCAGCGGUGAAAUGCCCCCGCUCAACGGGGUGAAGUGUCAUUGAUACUGCCUGGCUGGAAUGCGGAUGCCGUGGGAGGAAUGUGUGGUGUAGCGGUGAAAUGCAUAGAUAUCACACAGAACACCGAUUGCGAAGGCAUCUCACGAAUCCGCGAUUGACGCUGAUGCACGAAAGCGUGGGUAUCAAACAGGAUUAGAUACCCUGGUAGUC
rnacentral:rRNA from 1 species